rnacentral:rRNA from 1 species
CCUACGGGAGGCAGCAGUGAGGAAUAUUGGUCCAUGGGCGCGAGCCUGAACCAGCCAAGUAGCGUGAAGGAUGACUGCCCUACGGGUUGUAAACUUCUUUUAUAAAGGAAUAAAGUGAGGCACGUGUGCCUUUUUGUCUGUACUUUAUGAAUAAGGAUCGCGUAACUCCGUGCCAGCAGCCGCGUUAAUACGGAGGAUCCGAGCGUUAUCCUGAUUUAUUGUGUUUAAAGGGAGCGUAGAUGGGUUGUUAAGUCAGUUGGGAAAGUUUGCGGCUCAACCGUAAAAUUGCAAUUGAUACUGGCAGUCUUGAGUACAGUUGAGGUAGGCGGAAUUCGUGGUGUAGCGGUGAAAUGCUUAGAUAUCACGAAGAACUCCGAUUGCGAAGGCAGCUUACUAAACUGCCACUGACAUUGAUGCUCGAAAGUGUGGGUAUCAAACAGGAUUAGAUACCCCAGGAGUC